rnacentral:snRNA from 1 species
GUGCUUGCUUCGGUAGCACAUAUACUAAAAUUGGAUACAGAGAAGAUUAGCAUGGCCCCUGCGCAAAGAUGACAUGCAAAUUCAUGAAGUGUUCCAUAUUUGU